rnacentral:tRNA from 1 species
AGCGCCUGUGGGCCACCGGCGAUCAGGCCCACGACCCGCGCCGGGUCGGUGUUGAAGGUCGGGGGGCACUCGGAGGCGUCCAGCACGCCCAGGCGCCC